rnacentral:rRNA from 1 species
UAAUACAGAGGGUGCGAGCGUUAAUCGGAAUUACUGGGCGUAAAGGGCGCGUAGGCGGUGAGAUGAGUGUGAUGUGAAAGCCCUGGGCUUAACCUAGGAAGUGCAUCGCAAACGAUCUCACUGGAGUAUAAGAGAGGGUGUCGGAAUUUCCGGUGUAGCGGUGAAAUGCGUAGAGAUCGGAAGGAACGUCAAUGGCGAAGGCAGACACCUGGCUUAAUACUGACGCUGAGGCGCGAAAGCGUGGGGAUCGAACAGGAUUAGAUACCCUGGUAGUCCACGCUGUAAACGAUGAGAACUAGAUGUUGAUUGGGGAACCAAGCAGUAUCGAAGCUAACGCGAUAAGUUCUCCGCCUGGGAAGUACGGCCGCAAGGUUG